GACGAACGCUGGCGGCGUGCUUAACACAUGCAAGUCGAGCGGAAAGGCCCUUCGGGGUACUCGAGCGGCGAACGGGUGAGUAACACGUGGGUAACCUGCCUCAGACUCUGGGAUAACUCCGGGAAACCGGGGCUAAUACUGGAUAUGACCACUAACCGCAUGGUUUGGUGGUGGAAAGUUUUUCGGUCUGAGAUGGGCCCGCGGCCUAUCAGCUUGUUGGUGGGGUGAUGGCCUACCAAGGCGACGACGGGUAGCCGGCCUGAGAGGGCGACCGGCCACACUGGGACUGAGACACGGCCCAGACUCCUACGGGAGGCAGCAGUGGGGAAUCUUGCGCAAUGGGCGGAAGCCUGACGCAGCAACGCCGCGUGAGGGAUG
rnacentral:rRNA from 1 species